rnacentral:rRNA from 1 species
AUUGAACGCUGGCGGAAUGCUUUACACAUGCAAGUCGAACGGCAGCACGGGGCAACCUGGUGGCGAGUGGCGAACGGGUGAGUAAUAUAUCGGAACGUGCCCAAUCGUGGGGAUAACGUAGCGAAAGUUACGCUAAUACCGCAUACGAUCUACGGAUGAAAGCGGGGAUCGCAAGACCUCGCGCGAAUGGAGCGGCCGAUAUCAGAUUAGGUAGUUGGUGGGGUAAAGGCUCACCAAGCCAACGAUCUGUAGCUGGUCUGAGAGGACGACCAGCCACACUGGAACUGAGACACGGUCCAGACUCCUACGGGAGGCAGCAGUGGGAAUUUGGACAAUGGACGCAAGCCUGAUCCAGCCAUUCCGCGUGCAGGAUGAAAGG